AACGAACGCUGGCGGCAGGCCUAACACAUGCAAGUCGAACGCUGUAGCAAUACAGAGUGGCAGACGGGUGAGUAACGCGUGGGAACAUGCCCUUCGGUUCGGAAUAACUCAGGGAAACUUGAGCUAAUACCGGAUACGCCCUUAGGGGGAAAGAUUUAUUGCCGAAGGAUUGGCCCGCGUCCGAUUAGCUAGUUGGUGAGGUAAUGGCUCACCAAGGCGACGAUCGGUAGCUGGGCUGAGAGGAUGAUCACCCACACUGGGACUGAGACACGGCCCAGACUCCUACGGGAGGCAGCAGUGGGGAAUAUUGGACAAUGGGCGCAAGCCUGAUCCAGCCAUGCCGCGUGAGUGAUGAAGGCCCUAGGGUUGUAAAGCUCUUUCGCCAGGGACGAUAAUGACGGUACCUGGAUAAGAAGCCCCGGCUAACUUCGUGCCAGCAGCCGCGGUAACAC
rnacentral:rRNA from 1 species